UAUCCACUGUUACAUCAAAUUGGCUAAUAUGGAAAUGCAUUCUCCUGAGAGAGCUUGGCUGAUUACUGCGAGGGCUGGUGGAAAGCGGGCUGUCUCUGACUUGUUUUUGAUUCGAGCUUCUUCUCAGGAUCAAGUGUGCUAUCAUUUCAUCACUGUAUUCUAAAAAUAAAACAGUAAUUUGUUGCGGACAGCAGGUCGAGAAGAGACACUUAAUCUGCCUCGGUGAAAAACUCAAUUACACAGACUGGACAAUUUCGUAAUCAAUCGUAAAGAAAAUAUCCAGCCGCACUAAUAGCCUUCAAUCGCACGAGGUUAUUCCCAAGGAAACACCACGAAACUGAAAGGCGUAUCCACCUUAAUGAAAUCGGAUUCCCUCACCAUUGGAUUUAUUUCAAAUUUUGAAAACGGCAUUCUAUUUUCCAAUUGCCCGCACCGAUUAACAAACUCGCUCGCCUGGUUUGUCCUAAAAGUUUUUGAAAGUGCCAUCAAGGAUACUAAUCCCAUGAUAACUUUAUGAAAAGUGCGAAAUCGCCUCAGUAAACAGCAUAUUAUUUUUAAAAAAAUGUCUCCUUCGCCCUGACGCACAGUUUGAAACAAAUUGCGAAGUUAGUUAUUGUGGUCAAUGUCUGUAUUUGCGUUAAAUCUUGCCGUUUAUUUUGUUUAGAAGAUCAUGAAUAUCUGCUUAGAAAUCAAUCAAUCUGCAUGACGUUUCACACUUUUAUUUGCCUUCUUUUACAACAAGUGAAAUUUAUGCGACUUAAGUGACGCGAAACAAGCAACUUGCGGCUUUUAUUUGAACAAGUGGAAUGCUGAGGAAAGACGAGACACUGGGAAGAAGUCCACUGACCAAUCUUCACUUUAAAACCAUCGAGCUCGCCCAUCUGCUCUGCGUGGAGACAUGUUAACAGCUUUCCUUCCCUCCCUUGGCACAACAUGUCUCCGAGUCACUUCUGAGUUGCCAGCAAAAGUAACAAAAUGCUAGGUAGACACGUUCAAUUUUUACAACGGAUUAAAUUGUACAGAAAUGCAAACGAAUCAACGUCCUAACAGAUACUUUAAAAUGUAAGAUUUAUCAAUCCACGAACUUUCAUCUGGAGAUGAUCUAGUCACAGAAACAUGGUGAUGCUGUGGGCUUUUAUAAGGCCAAAGCGAGAUGGUUUGUUCCACCACCAGCUACUCCACACAGAAACUAAUAGCUUUUGGAGAAAAAGGAAAUCCCUUUGUCAUGCAUUAUUCAGCAUCAUAUAUACAAGAAACCAACUAUGAAACAAAGAUUGCUGAAAGUAACGGACAAACAACACGAAGAUAUCUCACAGUACUUAAAUGAAGCAUUUGAAAAUAAAGUUGCUCAGUAGAGAGCAUUUAAAUUUAACUUGCACUGUGGCUUAAAAUUUGUUCAGCUGUCUUUUUUAUUGAGUACAUUUUUGAUUUUUGGACAUAAUUCAUUAGCAUUAGCCAAUAUACUUCAUGUAAUAUUCCCUCUUAUAAAUAAACAUAGGUGUUUUUAAUUUGGGCAGAAAUGUACCAUUUCCAUAACAUCUCAAAAGGAAAGAUCCAAUUCAGAAAUUAUCUUAACAAAAUAAAACUUGCAACAACUUCUUCUGCAUGCCUCGUUUGCAUACAUAGAAUUGCAUUCAAGGAGGAAUUUAACAAGGAAAUACACAAGAAUGAAAAGAUUGUCAAAAAAGAUAAAUUAGGAUUAUUAAUAGAACUUAUAUAUCACACUAAUACAAGGACAUUUUCUUUUUAAGCAGUUGGCAGCCAGUAAAGAAAUAUAAAUAAAUAAAUUAUCUAACUCACUCAUCUCCACAAUAUUUUACUGUCAAGUGUAUAUAUAUACAUUACAUUGAUGAAGCGCCAAAUAGGUUCCGCAUUUAACAGGGACACACCUAGCAAUAUUCCUACAUAUCUCACUUAACAUUAUCAAACAAUGGUUACUCCAUAUUGCUUAUGAACAUAUUGAAAUUAAUUUAGAAAUAAAUGGUUUAAAUAAAUGCUAAAUUUUCACACAGCUGAAGUUUCAAUCUGACUGAUAACAGUUCCCUCAUUUCAAUUACAUGGAGUUGAAAAACAAGGUCCUAUUGUGGCUAACUGAACAACAGAGUGGUACAUGCAUUUAUUACCAGGCUAUGUCAAAAUUCAGCCUUAACUCUAACUGUGAUCUAGUCUUCCUCCUCAUCUUCUUCAUCACUGUCUUUCAUUGUAAUCCCUUGAAGACCACCACCUUCAGAAACCGAUGCUGUUGCUUCUUCUACAGUCAGUCUGUUACGAAUUGUCUCAUAGGUCUUACUGUUCAAGGUUGAAUCCAGUACUCCCUGCAGCCGAAAGUCUCGAUAAGCUUUCUACAAGAAUACAAAUGUAUAGGACUUGACAUUUAUUCACUGGCAGAAGCUUCAUUGUAUCUUACAAAUAACUUUUUCCUACUAUUACGC